rnacentral:rRNA from 1 species
AUACGUAGGGGGCGAGCGUUGUCCGGAAUUACUGGGCGUAAAGCGCGCGCAGGCGGCUUGUUAAGUCAGGUGUCAAAAUGCGGGGCUCAACCCCGUAUCGCACUUGAAACUGGUAGGCUUGAGUGCAGGAGAGGGAAGUGGAAUUCCCAGUGUAGCGGUGAAAUGCGUAGAUAUUGGGAGGAACACCAGUGGCGAAGGCGACUUCCUGGACUGUAACUGACGCUCAGGCGCGAAAGCUAGGGGAGCAAACAGGAUUAGAUACCCUGGUAGUCCUAGCCGUAAACGAUGGGUACUAGGUGUUGGGGGUUUCAAUCCUCCAGUGCCGCAGUUAACGCAUUAAGUACCCCGCCUGGGGAGUACGGCCGCAAGGCUGAA